CUUGGUCAUUUAGAGGAAGUAAAAGUCGUAACAAGGUUUCCGUAGGUGAACCUGCGGAAGGAUCAUUAACAUAAUAUUCUUACACACUGUUUUUUUACAACAAAACAAAUCUAUCUAAAAACAAUUCUUUACAAGAAAUUCUUAAAACUUUCAACAACGGAUCUCUUGGUUCUCGCAUCGAUGAAGAACGCAGCGAAAUGCGAUACGUAAUACGAAUCGCAGCUCACGGAAUCAUCGAAUCUUUGAACGCACAUUGCACCAUUGGGUAUUCCCAAUGGUAUGCUUGUUUGAGCGAAUACUUCCCUAAUCCUCACGGAUUGUAUUGUGUUUGCACGAAAAUAAUGACGACAGUACUCUACAAAACGGUACCGUCAGUACACUCAUUUUUUUUUCCUCAAAUCAAGUAGGACUACCCGCUGAACUUAAGCAUAUCAAUAAGCGGAGGA
rnacentral:rRNA from 1 species